CCUUCCCGCGCUCCCCGCAGGUUUCCCCCAGACAAUCGCACAGUACCCCUAACUCCACUUAAUUCGCUCCGCGUGCUCUGAAUCACAGAAAGGCAAACUUGCUGACAAAGAGGCGGCCCGCCCGCGUGCGGGGUUCCCGGGCGCGUCCCGCUGGCCAGGUGAGGACAGCGGGCACUGGGCGCCGCAGCGGGGCGCGGGGCGGGCUGGAGGCGCGCGGACACUCCCCCGGCCGGCAAGGAAGGGGCGGGCCGAGGCGCGGGCCAGGUGCCGCUGGGUGGCCCUGCGAGCCGCCGCUCUCCGCCUCUCUAGGCUCAGCUUCCAUCACCGCGUAGCGGAGCCCCGUGUCCGGGCCAGUGCUGACUUCGAGACUUUUCUGAUGGUGACUCAUGAUAUGCAUGGAAGCAUAAAAAAUGCUCACACGAAACAUUCAGAAAACUAAACUUACCCUUACGUAUAUGAUGCUGUGAUGGUUAACACUGAGUGUCAACUUGAUUGGAUUGAAGGAUGUGAAGUAUUUUUCCUGGGUGCGUCUGUGAGGGUGUUGCCAAAGAAGAUUAACAUUUGAGUCAGUGGACGGGGGCAGGCAGACCCACCCUCAAUGUGGGUGGGCACCGUCUAAUCAGCAGCCAGCGUGGCUAGAAUAAAACAGGCAGAAGAACAUGGAAGGACUUGACUUGCUGUGUCUUCUGGCCUUCAUCUUUCUUCCAUGCUGGAUGCUUCCUGCCCUCGAACAUGAGACUCCAAGUUCUUCAGCUUUUGGACACUUGGACUUACACCAGUAGUUUGCCAGGGGCUUUUGGGCCUUUGGACACAGCCUGAAGGCUGCACUGUCGGCUUCCCUCCUUUUGAGGUUUCGGGACUCGGACUGAUCCACCACUGGCUUCCUUGCUUCUCAACUUGCAGACGACCUAUCGUGGGACUUUACCUUGUGAUCCUCCUCCCAGGAGUUCUGCCAGGCAAUGGGAAGCACUCCGUGACUGGAGAGGCUGCCUCUGCUCCUGAAGCGGAGACCUUGCUCCUUCCCAGGCCGCCAGGAGGGCUCAGCCUACAGGGAAGCUUGGGAGCCCUUAAAGGAGGCAUGGGACCAAGACAGGUGGCAGAGAAGAUGGAGGACCAAGCCUGGCAGGGGAAUGAGGUGGCUUGGGAGCAUCACUUCAGGAUCUAGGGAGGCCCUGGUGGGGCCUUCUGCUCACCUCUUUGCCAGAGCUAGAAAGCCCUUCACCUCGGACAGCAUCACCCCACUGAACGUGGCCUCUGCCCCCUUCCUGGGCUUGCCAUCUGAGGAAAAACAGGUGAGGGACCCAGUAGCUGGUUUCUCUGCUGCACCGCUUCUUGAGAUGCUGAAUGGCAUGGGACUCCCCACGGCUUUCGGGGCACCUCUACUCCUCUUGGCUGUCAGGAUCUGCUGGGGGACAGGGCCAUGGUUGAGGGGUGUAUUAGUCCAUUCUCAUGCUGCUAUGAAGAAAUACACAAGACUGGGUUAUUUAUAAAGGAAAGAGGUUUAACUGACUCAUGGUUCAGCAUGGCUGGUGAGGCCUCAGGAAACUUACAAUCAUGGUGGAAGGGGAAGCAAACAAGGUGGCAGGAGAGAGAGAAGUGCCAAGCAAAGGGGGGAAAGCCCCUUACAAAACCAUCAGAUCUCAUGAGAACUCACUCAUGAGAACAGCAUGGGGGACCCGCCCCCAUGAUUCAAUUACCUCCCACCAGGUCCCACCCACGGCAUGUGGGGAUUAUGGGAACUACAAUUCAAGAUGAGAUUUGGGUGGGAACACAGCCGAACCAUAUCAAGAGGGAUGUGCAUUUGGUCUGCUCGGGGCCAUGGUGAGUGAGACAAGUCAGGAUGAAGCUGUGGUCACCCCUCCUAGCUGCCCUUCUGCAGCUCAGGGACUCUAGAUCUGCUGUAGCCCAGGCACCGCACAACUUGCUUCCUGGGCCAAGCAGCUUCGUGUGGGUCAGCAGCCCAAUUGGUAAAAUGGACACUAAACUGAGCAUUAGGAUUCUUGAGUUCUAGACUCCAUGCUUCCCCUGGCUAGUUGUGUGACUGUGGAAAAGUCACUUUUCUCUGGGCCUUAGUUUCUCCCUCCAGAAUAUAAAAGGGGUUGAACUCAAUUCCCUCCUCCCUUCCUUCCUUCCUUCUUCCCUCCCACAUGUAGGACUCCAUUGGAGAUACCAAGAUGAAUAAGGUUUUAUCAAGAGGCUAAAAGAGGACACACAAGGUAGCAAAUAAAACAAAUAGUCAGUGAUGAGUAUAAUUACAAAAACAUGGGCAAGACAUGGAGCUGGUACAGAGGACAGAAUGGUUUGCUGAGGAGUGGGGAGAGACAGCUCCAAGGAAGGUUUCCCUUGGAUACUGAGCUGGGUUUGGAAGGUGAUUUUAUGUUCCUUUCCAGCUCCACCCCUCGGUAUGUCCCAUGAGAUUCUGCUCUUGUUAUAAGGGUAGAUGGGAUGGGGAAGACAGAGGGGGAAGCAGUGCUCUGAUUUAUUUUAUCAAGUGCUCUUUAAAACCAGAGAACCAAGAAAAGAAUGCCUCAAAGUGGAAAAUGGCCCUUAGCAUGACAAGCCUGUCCUUGAAGAUUCAGUCAAACCAAGGCAAUGGCAGCAUGGACAGAGCCGGGGAGAAAUGCUUGCCUGGUGCUCAGAAAAAGGUCACUCACAAGCAGGGUGAGCAGUGGUGCCUGAUACAUGCCUGCCUAUGCCCUCCUGGAGAGCUCAGAGGCUCAGGUGUGGCACUGAGGUGCCAUCUACCCUGCAGGUGAGCGCCAGGCUCAGCAGUGCACUAUUGGGACUGCAGCCCGGGGUUCAGCUGACUCUUCUGAUGUGGGAACGGGGUACCAUUCUUUACAAGCAACCGAGCCUUGCUCAGACAUGGCCUCCCAGUCCUCUCCUGAGCCCCCAGGCUGUGUUUGCCAGCCCCGCUCCCUGAAAUUAGACCCAUUCUCCUCUCUUUCUAAUGGAAAUCACCCUGGUGAUUGCUGGGCCUUCCCAUCCAGUCACUGGCCUGCGACAUGAGGGCAGGGGCAGUGACAGGUGUGGACCCCACUAUGGCCUGAGAGCCUGGCGUCCUCACAGCAAGUGCACAGUGGGUGUGGGUUGAAAGAAAGAACGAGAAUAGCCAAGCAUUGGUCUGGCAUGAAGAUCCUUUCCAGGGGCUUCUUCCUAAUGACCUGGAGGAAAGUCCAUUGCCCUCGGGGACUGCUGGCGCUUUGCAGACUGCCCCUCCAAAAAUAAAAACGGCCAUAAAACAGGGAAGGGGGAUACUCGUUGUUGCCUCAGAAGCUCAGCAGACAGACGGGUGAGGGGAGCAGAUGCCGCUAUUUCCAAAACCCCCUACAAAGCCCCGUUCGUGGAGUCCCACGCUCAUGUGGGCGGCUGCCAGGUGCCAGGUGGUUUGCUGGGCCCGGGGUUCUGAGGGGAGUCGGGGGAGUCUCCCACCCCUGGGCCGAGGGCUGCUGUGAGGGGAGCAGUGCCACAGGUGUGCACGAGAGGGACAAGCUCACCUGCCCAGCACAGUCAGAGCAGGUGCCGCACUGGAGAUGAGGCUUCAUGGGUGAGCAGGAAUUCAGUGGAAAAGGAACGGCAAAGAGAACAAUGUGAGCAGGUUGGGAAGGGACAGGAGAGAGCCUCUCAGAGGCCCAGAGUUUGGUAACCUAUCCAAAUCCACACAGCCGUAAACAGAGGGGCUUGGACUCGGACACCGAUACUUCACCCCAGAGUUCACCCUCUUUACCACUCUACUAUUGCUGCCAUAGUUAAUGGGUAUCUACAAUGUUUACAAGAAAAGCAACUACUUUGUUCAUGGUGAUUAAAGCCCAGGUACGGAGGAAGGAAAGUAGCAGAAGAUAAAGCCAAAAAUAGGUUAAGGCCAGACACGUAAGAGCCCUGAGGCCAUGCAAAAGAGUCUGGGCUUGGGGCUCUGGCUGUUGGAGCCUGUGGGGAUUGCUCAGCAGGGGGUGCCUUGGGGCACAGCGUGCCAGCCUGCAGGUAGGGCAGGAGCUGGGAGCUGACGGUGGGGAGAUGGAGACAGGUUUGAGAGCAGAGGAGAACUGGCUGUCAUUGAGAGGAGAGGAAGGAGUCAAUAAUGACCCUGAGGUGUCUAGUCUGGUCUAGGGUGGGUGGGUGAUGGUGCCAUUGACCAGACCGACCUGGAAGGAGAGACACAGAUGAUGUGUGUGGUUCCCAGUGGGGGAACUCCUGUCCAGGCCAAAAACCUUUUCAGUCCAGCGUGAUGCUUGGUUCCUAGUAGCAAACAUCAAACAAAUGAACUAUACUGUCAGCCAGUGCAUUUCUGCCUCCCAUGCCAUGGGCUCCCCCCACCCAACCCCAGCACCGAAGGUAGAGAACUCCCCUGCCCGGGGGAUCCUUCUUUACUGGGCGUCCCAUGGUCCUGGCUCCUGCCCCACCCCAUCCUCCCCCCAGCUCUCAACACAGAAGCCCUAGCUAGCAGGACAAAGAAAAAUCCUACAUUAACUGUUACGCCGCUGCCUGCUUUCCUUCAGGCCUGCUGCCUUAUUUCUAUCCAGCCCCAGGCAUGUGUGGCAGUUCAAGCUAACGCUUCUCCCCAUGAUGACGUUGGCCACACUUUGGCAAUGUUUCUCUCCUAUAAAUGGGAAGUUCCUAAAAUUACACGGCAUGGGUGACCUGCUCUGCCCUUACUGGUCUGCUCACGUCCUCAUUGCCUGACUUCACCCUAUGCAGGGUUUGCUGGCUAAUCGGCCACAGACUAUGGUUUUGAGAAAUGCAGUUAAUACUCCACAGAAAACCAACCCAGUUUCUACAAAGAGCCAAAUACUGUUGAAUCAACUCUACGCCAAUGGUUGUUAAAACCGCUCACUGGGGUCAGCGCUCUCCCUGCCCCACCAGUCUUCCACUGCUUUCUGUUGAACUGGGCAGUUUCCAAGUGGUUUGAGUGACAGCCAUGAGCCGCUGAUCCAGAAGCAUCUUGCUGGUGGUGUCUUGGCAGAACACUGUUGCCCAAUACUAACAGGGACAGUUUAACCAUGUGGAAGGGACCUCAGAGAUAUUCCCAUCCAGUGCCCCCAAUUUGCAGAUGAAGAAACUGAGGCUUUGAGAGGCCAACUGUCUGUCCACAGUCACACACCCAGUCAAGGGCACAGCCAGGACUGGCACGCAGACCUGCUGACUUCCGCCCUCCCGUGGCACCCUCUGGUGACCCAUUCCAACAGUGAGCAGUUUUCCUUCCCUUGCUCAGAGGAAAGCUUGCUUUCUAAAGAGCUGGCCACGUCCCCGGCAGGAGCUUCCCGGAGGACUUGCAGCACUCUGGCUCCUGCAGACCCCUGGCUAAGUAUAACCAGGCCCCGUUGACCCAGACUCAUCUCCUGAUUUCUUCUGGACAGCAAUGCAUGUGGAUUUGUUGUUCUCUAGACCUGAAUCAGGGAAGUGUGUCCCUCCAGACCCUGCCCCGUGGCCCAGGAUCCGGCGUCACUUUGCAAGCUUUGCAAGAUCCCAGCCCCAUUUGUGUGGCCUGCAGGUGCCCUGGCAGAGAGCAGGCCUCCGUCGGCCGAAUCCACACUGCUCCUCUCCGGGGCUGCAUUUCUCAUAGCCUCCAACUCCCCUGGGAGCCAUGGUUUUUUCCUUUCUUGCAUAAUCUGAUUUUUGCCCCUUUAGAUGAAAAUUCUGUUCCUCAGGAUUACCCCACUUUCUACCUUAAAGCUUCUGCCAAAGCAAACACCCUAACAAACAGACAGAGGGAAAGGAUGGGGUUCAGGUCCUGAACAAAUCUCAGUAGCCCUCCAGGCAACCCCUCCCAGGGGAGGGAACCUGGAGCUUCAAGGGGCCCCUCCUGGGACUGAGCGACCGGGAAGCCGCUGUGUUCUGCGAGGCUCAGCACAGCGCCACCAACUGGGAAGAGGAGGGCAGGACACCUGGACCCCAUUCGUUAAUUCUGCGCAAUGGUUCUCAGCUGGGAUCACCCGGGAACUUCAUAAAAAAUUCAUGGCUGGGUCCCCCUCCCACAGACACUGACCAUCAGAGGAAAUGGACCCGUCCCUAAAUGGCGGGCAGAGAGACUGGGAGACAGAAGUCCACCUUCCCAGGAGCAAAUGACAGAGACGGUCAGAGGUCCCAGAGGACCCAAAUCCUGGGAAAACACUCCAAACAGCCUGCAUCCAGCACCUUGAGGACACUUGCACCCACCCACUAUGCUCUGCUGAGGAUAACAGUCACUAAAGGGCUCCUCAGCUUCAUGGCAGGAAAGAACAGUCAAGCCCCACCACCCCAGCUACAUUUCCCAGGUACUCUCUUUCCAAGAAGGCAUCCCCCAGACCUGCAAAUCAGCAGUGUCCCGUCCCUGCCCCCUCUCAGGACUGAAAGGGAAUCAGACAGCAAAGAAGGCUCUCCUCCCUCCUCCUGUGGUCCCAGGGAGCUCCAACUUGUCCAGCACAGUGGCCCUGCCAUCAUGGAGGCAGCGAGACUGAGCGAGCAGGCCCUGGGCUCUGAGUCCUGGUCCUGGCCCUGCCCCUAACUCGGGCCAUUUACCUCUCCUCCAUGGGCCUCAGUUCCUUCCUUUGUAGAACAGGGAGGGAUAAGGUGCCCAGCCGUGCUUCCCCAAUGGGCAAAUAUAAGGAUUGAACAAGGGGAGGUGCUCAAAAUGGCACCUCCACAUCCAUCAGGGAAACGUGGACAGAGGGAGGGAGCGCUCUGAGGGGAGGGGAGGCGAAGGGACUCAGGUAUAUUAGUCAUCCCCAAAACUGAAGUCAUUUCUCCCCGCCUCAUAUGCAGUAGGAACCAUAGUAAGAUGCACAGAAUCAGAAGUCAGACCCAGAUGCAAAAUCUGCAGCUCGCUUACAUGUGUGACCUUGGACAAGCCUGCAAACUUCUCUCAGCCUCCGUUUCCUCAUCUGUAAAGCUAGGCCACCACACUGUUCUCACAGGCUCUUAGGAGGCCUGAAUUGAAUAAGACAAUGCACGAGAAGUGCCUGGUACCCAGCAGGCACUCAAGGAAUGGCAGCUCCUGAGGCCCCCACCACCCCCUGCUCCAACCCGGUGGUCUCCUGCAGGUCAGGGGGGCAGCUGUCCUGGCCAUGGGCAUCUGGACCCUGGUGGAGAGGAGCAGCUACCUCAGCAUCCUGGCCUCCAGCACCUUCACUGCCUCCGCCUGCAUCCUCAUCUGAGCGGGUACUCUCGUCAUGGUGACCGGCUUCCUGGGCAACAGCACCAUCUCCUAGGAGCAGAAGGGCUGCCUCUCCAUGCUCUGCAGGGAGGGGGACCCUGCACUACCACCCUAUUUCCCAGUGAGGUCCCCAGCAAGGAAGAAGGGCUCCAGUCCUGGAGUGGGAAGCGGCUGAGGCCAUGGGACAGCCAGAGAGGGGGUGGCUGCUCUCCAGCCUGGUGUUCUCCAGGAUCUUAGGACACAGGCCAGGAGGCCAGCCUCGGCAGCUGCAGUAGCAGCUCCCUCUCAUCUGUCUCUCCUCCUCCCUCUCCUUCUCCUCUGCCCCUUCCUUCUUCUCCCUCCUCUCCUUCCGCUUCUCCCUUCCCUUCUCCUUCCUCUCCUCCUCCUCCCUUUUCCUCUCCUUCCGCUUCUCCCUUCCCUUCUCCUUCCUCUCCUCCUCCUCCCUUUUCCUCUCCUUCCGCUUCUCCCUUCCCUUCUCCUUCCUCUCCUCCUUCUCCCUUUUCCUCUCCUUCCCCUUCUCCCUUCCCUUCUCCUUCCUCUCCUUCUUCUCCCUUUUCCUCUGCCUUCUCUUUCUCCCUUCCCUUCUCCUUCCUCUCCUCCUCCUCCCUUUUCCUCUCCUUCCGCUUCUCCCUUCCCUUCUCCUUCCUCUCCUCCUCCUCCCUUUUCCUCUCCUUCCCCUUCUCCCUUCCCUUCUCCUUCCUCUCCUUCUUCUCCCUUUUCCUCUGCCUUCUCUUUCUCCCUUCCCUUCUCCUUCCUCUCCUCCUCCUCCCUUUUCCUCUCCUUCCCCUUCUCCCUUCCCUUCUCCUUCCUCUCCUCCUCCUCCCUUUUCCUCUCCUUCCCCUUCUCCCUUCCCUUCUCCUUCCUCUCCUCCUCCUCCCUUUUCCUCUCCUUCCGCUUCUCCCUUCCCUUCUCCUUCCUCUCCUCCUCCUCCCUUUUCCUCUCCUUCCCCUUCUCCCUUCCCUUCUCCUUCCUCUCCUCCUCCUCCCUUUUCCUCUCCUUCCGCUUCUCCCUUCCCUUCUCCUUCCUCUCCUCCUUCUCCCUUUUCCUCUCCUUCCCCUUCUCCCUUCCCUUCUCCUUCCUCUCCUUCUUCUCCCUUUUCCUCUGCCUUCUCUUUCUCCCUUCCCUUCUCCUUCCUCUCCUCCUCCUCCCUUUUCCUCUCCUUCCGCUUCUCCCUUCCCUUCUCCUUCCUCUCCUUCUUCUCCCUUUUCCUCUGCCUUCUCUUUCUCCCUUCCCUUCUCCUUCCUCUCCUCCUCCUCCCUUUUCCUCUCCUUCCCCUUCUCCCUUCCCUUCUCCUUCCUCUCCUUCUUCUCCCUUUUCCUCUGCCUUCUCUUCCUCCUCCUCCUCCUUUUUCCCCUUGUCUUCCUCUCCCUCUCUUUCAUCCUUUCUCUUCCUGUUUCUCUUCCUGCUCCUUCCAGAUUUUAUCAUGGCAAUUUUCAAAGAUGUGCAAAAAUUUUAAAAAGUGCUUUAAUGAACCUCCAUCUUCCCAUCACCCAGGGCUCAACAGUUACCACUUCAUAGUCCAUCUCCAUUCGCUGGCCUGCACCCUCCCCUCCAUCCCUCCCUCUCCCCACCCCAGGAUGGUUUUGAAGCAAUCCCAGAUAUCAAAUCAUCUGUCAAUAUGUCAGCAUAUUUCUGAAAGAGCAAUAAACUUUUUAAAACAUUUAAAAAACAAAUAUUUCAGUAUGUACCUCUAAAACUUAAGGAUCCUCUUUCAGAAAACAUAGUGACAUUACCAUUAUCAUACCUAAAAACUAUUAACAGUUGAUUCCUUAAUAUCACGAAAUAAGCAGGCAGUUUCAGCUCUCCCCAACUGACCCAUAAACUGUUCUUUUUAAAAAAGUUAUUGGGGUCAGAAUCUAAAUUACGUCCAUGUGUUAAAAUCAGUUAAUUGGUCUCCUAAGUCUCCUUUAGCCUCUAAGUUCCACCAUCAAUCUCUCUCUCUCCUUUUUUCUCCUCUUGCAAUGUAUGUGCUGAAGAACCAGGUCAUUUGUCCUGUCACGUUUCUCCCAGUCUGGAUUUUCUGGUGACACCCCCGUGAUGUUGUCUAACAUGCCCACCUGGAGGUUAGAUCUAGAGGCCUGAUCAGAUCCCACUGAUCUGAAUGUUUGGAGAGCGCCUGGUGCAUGGCUGGUGUUACAGGCACCAGAGCCUCCUUGACAGCCUUCCGCCUGGGAAGCUGGGAAGAUCCGCAGCAGCCCAGAGUGUCAGGAGGGGAGGCUGGGGUGGAACGUGCAGGACCAGAGGCCUGGAGUCCAGCUCAGGACUCAGGCAGACCCCAACUCCCUAACUUCCAUGCCCUCUUGGCAGAGGCAAGCUCCCUGCUGCCUGGGGCCUCUCUUCACCCCACAGCCCCUCCCAAGGGUCAAAGCCUAGUGUGUGGGAAGAGAAGAAGAGGACAGAUGAGGCCGAAAAAUGUCCAGACCAGCAAGGAAGUGUGAGGGGCAGAACCAGCCCAAGUCUCAAAGAGAAAUCAGGCCAAGCCUGAAAGGAAUCGGGCAGCGGGAAGAAGCCUCAAAGGCCCCCGUGUUCCUUCUCCGGCUUCCCGGGUUCCACCACAGACUUUGCAGCCUCUGUUUUUGCACAGUGACCCAGGGAGCCAGUGGCAGAGGAAGGGUGCCGCGAAAGCCCGUGGACUGUCCCCUGCUGCCUCUCACCAGCAGCGACCUACUUUCCAGCUGUGGAUAUGAAGCACCUGUGUACGGGCCUUUAGGAUGGCCCUCCCGUUUUGAAGAGAGGGAGAGCCUACAGCCAGGGCGCUGGGAGAGUGGAUGUGAUAGGCCUGCAGGGUGAAGGCCCCAGGGCAUGGGCUUUGAGCUCUUUUCCAGCACUGGGGACUGGUGUGCCAGGGGCCAGCCAUACGCCCACCCAGCCCUCCAGCCUGGGGCCUAUCGUGAGGAUUUCCAGCAUCCUGGGCAAUGCGAUCGCUCAGCUGAGGUCCCCGAGAGCCGAGUGGCACAUCCUAGACCUGACCAACAUAGCUGGAUGGAGGCAUGUGGUGGGACAGUGAACCGGGCAUGUACCAUGGCCUGGGGUGGAGACUCUCUGUGCAGCACCGACCAGCCCUUAGGGGGCCUGAGGCUUGCGGGACCAGUGCUGUUGGGCCCAGAGAGAGAACCCCUUUCCUCUGCAGUGUUGGCGAGCCCACUGUGUCCUGUCUGGUUCCGUGCCCCUCAGCAGGCUUGGCCUUCAGCUUGGCCUCAGGCUUCAGGCCAAGCUUCCGCCCCUCACACCUGGAGGUCUGCCCACAGGCAGGCAGCCAAGCCGCGUGGUCUCCGCUGCCUCCUUCCUUCCACCAGGUCAUCUUGUUGAGGGAGGACAGGACUCACCUCUGGACAGCACAAGAGGGAAGGCAGAAGCCCUCACCUGGAACCUUUCUUCUGACCCAGACCCUUGGUUCUGAGGAGCCCUUAAAGGCCAGUAGUCCCUGCAGCACGGGGAAACAGCCCCCUGCAUUCCUCCUGGGGCCUGAUUAGAACACAAAUGGCCACUGUUCACCGAGAGCCACCUACCUCUGUCCUUACUAUAGCAACCUGCAAAGUCCCGAUAAUCUGAACUCUCUGCCAAGCACCAUUCUCAACACUCACGCAUGUCAACUCGGUCCUCUCUGUGCCCCAAAGAGCAGCUUAUUCUUACUAUGUGCAUUGACAGGGGAGGAAACAGAGGGCAGGGGGAGGGAAGUGAUUUGUCCAGAACCACACUGUGUGUGUGAUUGUUUUAGGCAAUGGCCAAUCGGGGGCAGCCGCAAGAGGGGGCACAGGAGAGGCACAGGACAACAGAUGUUCCUAGACUCACAGGCCCCACAGAGUCACUGCACACUCCGCUGGGAGGGGUCGCAUGGGAGGAGCACCCAGGGCCCAGGCUCCACCAAGCAGGUGGGGGGCAGAGAGCGGGUGAGGCUUUUUUAUCGGGGAUCAGAGUGAAGCACACCAAAAACAGACACGAGGGAAUUCCACCAGUGCAUUUGAAUGUUACUAGGUCACAGUCAGGGGAACUUGUGGCACAGCCGGCCCCAUGACAAUAGUGCACUGGGUCACCCAGGCAGGUGCACACAACCUGUGUCUGGGGAUGUGGAGGCAGCAGGAAAAUGUGAAGUUUUCAAAUGUGCGACACACAUUGCUGGUGAGUGGCAUGUGGUCUAGCUCCAAGCCCAUGCUCUGACCCACCAUGGCCCACCACACUCCACUGCAUCCAAAGAGGUAGUAUUCACCCCUGCUUUACAGAUGAGGAGGCCAGGCUGAGACGUGCAGGAAGUAAGGGCCAGAGCUGGACUGGGAAUUGCAGUCUGUUGGAAUUGCCUCCAAGAGUCUGCUUCUCCUGGGGGCCAAGGCUGAAGGAAGGCAGAGGGACAGGAAGCUGAGCGGGGCAGGGAUGAAUGUGUGCAGGGCACACCCUGCCGUCCAUCUAUGGGUAGGUCUGUGUGGAGCCGUGGCUCUUGGAGAUCUGGCUGAUGACAAGAGAGGGCUCUGUGCAGGACCCAGCCCAGACCACUAGGGCAGGAGACCAGGGGUGUCAUGGUGAGACCCUAGACGCCUUGGGCAUCCCAGUGCCUCCUUGCUCCCAUUAUAUAAGAAAAGAACAGCAUACCUGGGUUAGAGCAUAUUUGGUUUGGAAGGGAACUUGAAGGUCACAAGGUCCAAUCCUCCAUCCAAAGGUUCCAGGCUGAAGGGCACUGGCUGGGUGAGAGUAUGGGCUACCUAGGCAUUAAUGGAGACACUCAGAAUUAUUGGCUUUUGGGGAGAACAGUCUAAUCUUAAGAGCUCUUCCCAGAAAAGCCUUAGGUUUAGCACCUGACCACACUCUGCUCUCCAAGCCACUGAUCACAGCCUCCUCUUCCACACUCUGCCUUACACAAUCCAUUUGCACGAUCUGUCCAGCCAUUCAGGCUGAUCCAUGAAGAAUGGAUGUCUCUAGCCUCCCCACACACAAUCUGACUGUCACUUAGUCUGGAUGGCCUGCCCAGAGGGGACCAAGCCCUGAGCCCAGGGCUGUGUAAGAGAGAUGUGGAGACUUAGUAAAGAUCAGGGUCCUGUGCUUGCCUAAACGCUUGAUGGGCACCUCUUGACCCACCUUUCUGAGCUUCAAGGAGUCAACAAACAGAGAGAGCCUUGUCAUCUCUCUGGGGCUUGAGGCAGGGCUGGGGCAAAGUGGCUAUUGGACAGGCUGGCAUGAGACAAUGUCCUUCUUCUCAGCUCUACUUUACUCACUUCUGUGGAGACCUGCCUGUGUUCAUUCUCAUCCCACAUAGAACCGGGGAUCUUUCUGGUUCAAGUCACUAAACAGACACAUCAGGGAGGCAACAGCUUGAAAUUGAAAGCAGAAAAAAGUGUGCAUGUACACAAACAUGUACAAGCAUGAAUGUGUGCGCGCACAUACAUGCAUGCACACCUGCACACGCACACACCUGCACGUGCAUGCAUGCACACUUGGCCACCAGUUCAGGACUGCAAGGACAGGCAUCUCUGCCAGGGGGCUAGCAAACAGCAAACCCCACGGCCUAGAAUCUGCUUUUGCUUUCUUGACUUUUCCUGCCCUGGUGUGAAAGAACCAAUGACAGAACUGGCUCAGGGACCGAGCAUGGGGUGAAGCAGAAGAUCUGAGUAACCCAUAUCCUGGCCCACCAGCCCCAGAAUUAUUGAGCAUUUGAUUGUUUAAACCAAAAAGACGGCUGCAGAAACUUUCUUGGGCUAACACAAGUAGGAAUUUUUAAACCCAUUUAGAGUCAAGCGUGUGGUUAAGGCAGCAUAAACGCGUUGUGUGCUUCUUGGCGGUUCCUUCCCGGUUUCAUUUCUUUUUUCCUCUCCAUGUCCAACUUCCUUUUGAAAUCUUGAAUCAGCUGAGGGCAGAAGGAAGCCCCAAGGGGGAAGCACGAUGAGUCUAGCACUAGACAAAGUGGUCCCCGAAGAGGAGAGGGAAGGAUGAAAGACCAGGCCUCGAAUGAAGUGCAUCCACCUUGGAUCAGGAGGCAGUGGGAGGCGGACAUGGGAGUUCCCAGGGAGCUACCCAGAGAGGGGCCGUCCAGCUCCCACGUGGGCACGUCAUCUGUCCCGGCCCAAACCUUCCUCCAAGUACAUCUGCAGCCCCUCAAAAUCACUUUCUCAAGAAGGAAAUGCUCGUCAGGGACGGGAAUAGCAUGUCUUUGCUGGUGCUGAGACGAUGAUCAGCUUGGCAUCAGAAAUCUGCAGAGAGGGGAAGGGAAUGGGGUUUAAAUUAUUUACACCAGACCUUCUCUUUUAGCAAAGACUGCACGAGAGAGACAGAUAAUUCAGGCCAUCUGGACCCGAGGCCGAUGACCAGGACAGAUGCCACCUAGAUCAAAAGAGGAAGAUAUUUUUAGAGUUUUGAAUGUGGGCUCUGAAAACUUUUACAUCUUAAGCCAAAUGAAGAUCAUGAUGGAUGGUUCAGACUUAACUGGGUCUUUAUCAGGGGAUGGAUUAAAAAGUAAGAAGUCCUAGAAACUAAUUUCUGAAAAUGAGGGGAGCCAGAAUUGCAACACUUCCAUCAAAUAUGCCGAGGCUUGGUCAGCCAGGGCAAUGGGGUCCAGGAUCAAAGAUAAUAGCUGGGGUCAGGCUGAAAAGCUGGUUUUCAUGGAGCUUGCCCAGCUUGCUCUGGGGCCUCAGGUAAGUCACUGCUUUCUGCUUUGCCACUUUGGCGUUGCCAUUUUAUCUGGGACGAGGUGUGAGGAUAAGGAGGAAGUCUUUUCAGGUCUUAGGAAACGAGUCACCACAUUAUAUAAAGAUUGUAAAAAUGUGGCUCUGGUGAACAUUCUCAUCACCAUCACCAUGGCCAAGCUCCUUUGAGAAGAGACCUACAUAAGUAAGAGUUAUUCUUGGGCCCACUGCCCCCAGACCCCCACAGCCUUGGCUGGGCCACAUCCUCUAAAGAAGCUGGGACUGGUGGGAAGUUCGGGGGAACCUGGGUCCCUGGACCCGGGAACUGGACUGCAUCGCCCCCUCAUUUCUCACCCACAUGUUCCUUUCUGUUGCUCCACCAGCCACCCAGCCCCACGGUGGGCCUUGCCUCGUCUGUUAGGUGGUAUUUUCAUCUUUGGUCAGAUGACAGCCCCCAUGCUCCAAAAAUUCUCCUGCAGCCAGGGCUUGGAGAAUCCCGACCCCUCUCUGGCAUGAACCUCUCCCCAUCCAGGGUGGCUUGUGUGGUAGAGCCAGGGGAAUGGAGAAGAUGACCUCUGAAGCCUGAAGGCUCUUUGGGAAGCAGGACAUCCUGAAGAGCCAGCCUUGAGCUGGCUGCACAAGAGACUCAUAGACUCUGCGUCAACAUCCACCUCUCCAGGCUGCAGUGGGUGUACCUGUUCACCGCCACCUCCAGCAGCACUGUCGCAGCGGAGCAGUUCUCACAGCCAAUGAGCUUCCACGCCACCUCCCUGCAGUUCUCUGCAACCGAGGCUCCAUCCUGCACUGAUGGGCUGCCUGACACGUCGGCCUCAACAAGCAUUUCCAGCACAUUCUCAGCUUUCCUGCUCUGCUGGGCAAAACGCAGGGUGAGAAGGGGAGAGGAAGCACGGGACUGUGGCCCAGUUCUAGGCUUGGAUUCUAGCGAGGAACACCAGGUGCCUGCAUUAAAAGGUAAAGGACCGUGCAGGUGGUUUGAAUUUGUGUUUGGAUUUGGUCAGAGGCUCUGACCUCUCUGGGCCUCAGGACUUUUCCUAACCUUUAGGCUGUCCUGUUCUUGGUAUCUCCUCACUCUUGUUCUUGGCAGCCUUCCCUACCCCCCGUAGCCACUUUUGUCCUAGAACGAAUUACCAUUGCUAGGGACACACCACUAGUCCUGCCCUGGGGCCCUUGCCACUGCUCUUAUCCCACCUUCACCACCUGCACAGUCCCUUCUGUCCACCUGUGUGCACAGGUAUCUGCAGGCUGCACCAUCUCUGUCCAAAGCCUGUGAGAAGACAGCCACGGGAAUGUCUAGUGCUUUCCAGCGGGGGCUGGGAAGAAGUGGCAAUUGGUCAUCUCCCUAUACCUGAAUCCACUGAGCAUCCUCUGAGUCCCCUGCUCUGUGUCUCCCCAUGGGGCACCUGGCCCCCAUCCCCCCAGCCUGCUGGCCAGGCCCUGCUGCCCUCUCUGGGUGCUGCCCUGACUCAGCCCAUUCCAACUAAGUUCUUCAUAGUCCCAGCUUGAAGCUCAGUGGACACCUGUCUUGGGCGUGUAGUUCUGGAAUUCUGUUCUCCUUCCGGGCCCACCCCCCACCACACACACACACACACACACGUUCCUCUUAGACCCCAACAUUUGGGCUGGCGCUUUGGAUGGCCUCAGCCACAUUUUCUCUUUUUUUCCUAUUUUAUUUUUUGAGAAACAGGUCUUGCUAUAUUGUCCAGGCUGGUCUCGAACUCCUGGACUCAAGCAGUUCUCCUGCCUCAGCUCCAAGUUGCUGGGCUUACAGGUGUGAGCAAGUGCAACUGCUCAGCUGCAUUUCCUUGAUGUGCUUGUAGAAUACCUCCUGCUUCCCCAGCAUCCAGUUUGCUCCCUCCCUGCCUCUUCCAACUUAACCCUCACUCCAUCUCAUCUACAGCUCUCCUUACCCCAGCCCUGGUCCUCUUCUCUGCUCCCAGCCCCCCGGGUCAGGAAUGUAUGUUAGUAUCAGAAACUGGCCAGAGCUCAUCCUCUUGUCCUCACUGUAGAGCUGCUCCCAGUGGAAUGGCUGAGUCCCAACCUCCGCCAUAGCUGCGGCUGGAUAGCCCAGGCUGUGAGCCCUGGGCUGGGGCCAGGACGGGUAGAGGUCACCUUCAGCCUUCCGACAAUGACAUCUUGUUACAGGAAUGGCUUGAGGCUUCCAAAUUCACAUCCUCUGGUUUGCACAAACAGGCCAGGCAGCUGCACCUCUGAGCUGCCUCCAGUCCAUGGUUAAUUGCCAGAAAAUAAUUCGCCCUGAGGUCAUUGCCGUUUAAACAGCUGGCUUCGUCUUUUCCUGUUUGGCCGGUCGUUCUGGGCUCCCUGGCCCUCCCUCCACCUGCUUCUGUGAUCCUCUCAAACACAGCCGGCUGGGAGCCUCAGGCUGGGCUCUUCUCCCUCCACCUUAACUUGGCGACGUCUUGAUCCUCGUGUUGUGCUGAUGCGAGGCUGUUCUGGGAAUAGGCUAGUCCCUCCACCUCGUCACGACCUGCCUGGACACCAAGCCUCCACCAUCAGGCUAUCACUUGCAGGAAAUUUUGCAAACCCUGUGUCUCUCUAAUCAUACAGGAUGGUUGGAGAGACAAAAGAGGAAUGAAUGCUUCCACGAAGCUCCCUCUUUGUGGCAGAAUCAGUCCAAUGGAGAAAUUCUGAAAUUCCAGUUUUACAAAGUUCUUCAAACUUACCUCAAGGAUGGCACCAGCUGAAGCUCAGUUGCCCUGUCUCUUAUGCACCAGAGCAUCUGCCCCAGAAACUCUUAUCUGGGGCUCAGUUUGCCCCCAUGUGGUAUAAGUCCCUCCAAAGAUUCCAUUUCUAGUUACUCGUCUCAAUGUCACAAUGAGAAAUAUUUCUGCAUAUUUCCUGCAAAGCGUCUCAUUAAAGAAAGUAUUGGUUUGAUUCAGAAAAUGCUAUGCUGUUCCAGCUUCACUUUGGAUCUAUAGUUUUAGAAAGUAUCCAACUCUGCUUCUAGUUUAAGCUGUUCUGUUAAAGAGUUAAUGGAAAAAACCCCACUAUGGUAUGAGGAAGGGGGUGGGAAUUAACGUUUGGGUCCCAUUCUGUGCCUAAAACACUGGUUCCCUCUAUGUUUUGAGCCUGAAAUUGAAUCGUUCUUAUGGAAGGCAGAUGCUAGAGGAGCUUUCUUUGGGAUUCUCAUUACCCGUUUCCAUCAGACCAGGCCAUUAGAUGGUUGCUUCUAGAAGGAUGGGCAGCCCUGAGUCUGCAGGGGGCAGACCGGUCACAAAAACCAGAGUGGAGCUGGGGGGUCGGACUGGAGUUCUUUGGGCAGGUUCAGUUCACACCCCGGUGCACAGGGUCCACAAAGGCACAAAAAGGCACAGGUGAGAGCCAGGAGGGCAAGCAGGGAUCCAAGUGUACACAGCCCAGGGAGCAAGACAAGCAGAGAGGCCUGGAGCCAGAAGGAGGCUCGGAAACAAGGAUGCCAGCAGUGAGCUCACGGGUCAGAAGCUUCUGGCCCAAGGCUUUAUGGAGGCCAUGCCUGAGCUGAAUAUUGGUGGCUGAGCAGCCAAUAAACGGAACACAGAUGGGGCCAGGGCAGGGAAUUCCAGGCAGGAGGAACAGCCAGAGAGCAAAGGCAGGGAGGCUGGAGGCUUUGCUGUGUGAUGAUCUGUGUACACACAGGGAAUGCUUCACAGGCUGUAGAGACAGUGACUAGCUUCUGAGAUCAGAGUAGGCUGGGCUGAGUAAAGGGAAGGGUGGAGGGGGCAGAGACCCACAUUACAGCCCGUGGCCCUGAACCCAGGACAAGCCACGGGGGUGGAGGAGCAGGCAGGAGAUGCUCCACCACUGCUGGCAAGGAGCAGGGCAGCCUGCCCAAGGGGGUACUGCCUGGAGCAUCACUGACUUACUUACCCCAUCUGCUGGCGAGGAUACAGAAGCUCAGCCCACAGGGCCACAAUGGAUGGCCCUAAAGUUUGUGUCCUAUGCAAGGGGACCACAGAAGGCUGGUGCCCUGGACAGUUGGCAAGAGGCUGAGCGCAGGGCAGUGAGGGAUGCUCGUGUGCCUGGGGAAAGCUUCCCUGGGCUUCCCUUUUUUUUCUCCAUCUUCACCCUCUCAUCCCUCACCCCUCCUGACACCCUGUCCCUUGGGGGAGCACCUAACACCCCUGUGUCCACCCGAACCACACCAGCCCUAACGUGCCAAAUCCCCACUAAAUGAGCCCAGUGCUCAUCCAUCCAUCCGCGCAUCCGUUGUUCAGUGGGGAAAGUAGCACGUAGCAGGUGCGAGCACAGGCUCUGCAGCCGGAAUUCCUGGGUUCCAUGCCUCACCCAGCCACGUAUUUGCUGGGUGACCUCAGGCAAGCUACUUAGUGUCUCCACGCACGUGUGCUCAUCUAGAAAACGAGGCUGAUGCUCGUGCCCACGUGGCAAUGUGAUGAGUAAUGCUAGUACUCAUCUCUGAGGGUGGAUGGGAGAGACACGCAAAGUGCUUGCAAGGGGGCCGGCACCUGGGAGCACUCAUACAUGUUGACUGUCACUGUCAUGGAGCACCACCGUGUGCCAGGCUCUGCUUGGUGCUCCUGGGCUGCUCACAUGAGCAAGGCACUGACUCUGCCAAGGAAGGGUGCUUUUUUUUUCUUUUGGAGAAAGAAAAGGGAUGCUUUCUGCUGCUCCCGCCCUGAAAACACUGCGUGCCCCUCUGCUCUUCUCCUACUAGGCUUGAGAAGCAAGACCAGCACACCCUGAGUUGGGGUGUUGCCUCCUAAGCCACUGGCCAGCAGUUCUGGGGGGGUGGGGGUGCUGAAGAGAAUGCGGGGCUCUGCUGGUGCAGCAUGGACCCUCCUUGGUCUGGUGAGCUGGGAGAAGCAGGACAGCAUGGGGUCCAGUGAUACUAACCGUGUGGAAAUAGAACUCCUCCAGAUUACAGGGCACCUGAGAAUUUCUUACUGACUUUUGUUUAAUAAUUCAAAAACACAUCAAAUCAAACUUAAUCAAGGCAAAAGCUGUCUCUGGAGCCUUCUUCGUGCUUCCUAGAGUCAAGCUCUUACAGAAUCACGGCAGCACCCCCCUCCCUAGCUCACGAAGGAAGCUGGAGGACUCCACAGCUGCUUCAGGAAACAGACUAUCCCCAGGGAACCCUUCAGAGAUCUUGGGACCAGACAGGAUGUACCUGGACUCCUGGAAUUCCCUCUCCAGCCUCCAGGUCCCGUGAGGAUGUGAGCUGGAGCAGUACGGGCUUCCCUGAUCCUUCCUGUGUCCAGGUGAGCAGCCUCCUGCCACAGAGCUGCCCUCCCAGGCAGGCACAGCGCACAAGGCCGUGCAUGCUUCUGUCCGUGUUCCGUUCCUGGCUCCUCGGAUCUUCCAUUUGUGCCUCCUGUAGUAUACAGGGGCACAUAAACAAAUCAAGUCCCAGCGUCAGCUGUCAAUGUGUGGCCCAGGGUUUCUCAACCUCGGCACUACCGACAUUUGGGGCCUGAUAAUUCUUUGCUGCGGGAGACUGCCCCGUGCACUGUAGGGCGCUCAGCAGCAUCCCUGGUCUCUACCCACUGGUAAUACUCCUUCCCCAGCUAAUGACAACAGCAAAAGUCUCCAGACAUUGCCAAAUGUCCCCUGAGGGCCAAAUCCAGCCAGGUUGAGAAGCACUGGUAUAAAUUUAACUAAGGUAAUUGUUCUAUGGUACUCUCGGAAGUACCAGAAAAAGAUGAAACUACUGCCCUCAGUGUGGGGCUGGCACGCUCCCACGGGUUCCUGCUGCCUCCCAGGUGUGCUUUGUAAGACAGCGCAUACCCACACCUUAAUCAGGGGAUGUUCACCAAGCAUGCCUCUACAUUGAGUGCCACACCAGGCACCGUGGAGGAGUACGCUGGUCCCCAUGCCCAGAAGCUCACAGUCAUUCUGGGGGGACAGUGGUAACACCUGAAACAAAAGCAACUGAUACAGGGCAGUGGGGGAAGUUGUGCCGUUCAUCCAGUGGAGACCUACACCCAGGAAUCAUGCAGUAGGCAUGGGGAGGGACACGGAGGCGGAGCCCCGCCUAGCUGAGGAGAGAAGGGGCAAAGCAGAAAGUGCUGGUGUCAGGAGACAGCAGAUGACAUGCUGCAGGCAUUGGAGGGCAGGGAGUAGCCAUCGCUGCUACCUGGCAUGGCUUAGUGGAGCCAUGACUGAGCUGAGCUGGGUAUUGAAGGACAAGGAGGCACCGGCAUUCCAGGCAGUUGGGGACGGGGAGAGCAAAGGGCUGAAGGCUAGAUGCCUGGCCUGCAUGAAAGGAGCUCCAUAAAGCAACACGAGGGAUGUUUCUCCACUUUGCAGACAGCCAACCUGUGCCGCGGGAGCCCUGAGAUGAUUCCGAUGCACGGAGGGAGCCAGGAAACGCUGGUAUUUCUGCCUGUCGCUUAUUAUCUGGUUGAGCUGGUGGCGGGAGUCCCGGCCCAUGUGUGUUACCAGAGGGAUGGUCUAGAGGAUGAAUCCAACUGUCAGAGGCAUCCAAGAAGAAAGGCCUGGGCCAGGAUCACAUGGAAGACCCUGAAGACAGGAUCGAGUCUUACCUGCCUGGAUUGAACAGGGAUGCAGUGACCAGUCCCAUCUGCUCCCACCCUGCUGCCCUCUGAAUCGAGAGUUUGAGGCCAUGACCAGGGUAACGUUCAGCUGGUAGAGACAACACAACCCUGCUGGCUGUUUAAGCCAUGCUGGAAUGGUGCUCACAGGGUAACAAUUCUGAGUGAUGAACAGAAGCAGCACUUGAGCCAGACUCUGACCAAGAACUACGGGCAGGCUAGAGCCACACAGAUCCCCGCCUCAGUAGACCGGCUGCAGCAGGAGGUACACCAUGCCCUAUGGCCUUGAAGGCCAAGCAGACACAGGUUCAAAUCCUGACUCUCUUCUUUCCUGUCUGUGUGGCCCUGGGCAAGUUACUUACCCUCUCUGAGCCUCGGCUGCCACAUCCCUAAAAUGAAGCCUCUUUAGGGUAUGUGAGCAUUAAAUUCGGUCACACCUGUAAAGUCCCUACCACCGUGAGAAGUGCCUGCUGAAGCCUGGUUCCUCUCCCUCCCUCUCCUUGACUCCCUCCUCCAAACCCACCCCUGCUGUCUUCCCGUUCUGGGUCCUGGUGGGCAGGAAGCUGGCAGUACCAGGAGAACUCCAUCUCCUGCCAGGAUCUGGGCCAGGAAGCCUCUCUCCGGGUUUCUUCUGUCUGUGAGGCUGCCUUCCUUCUUCCCUGGGGAGCGGGGAGCUGAAGCCCCAUAAGAGGGAGCGCUACCCGACGGGGGUAUUUCAGCUAAGCCACCAACAGAACUCUCCAGUUGUGAGCCAGCAGGCAGGAUGCUGAGGGACAGAAAGGUGGUCUCCUUUCCAAGAAAAGAUGCGGCAGAUCCCUCCAGCGAGGCCCACCAUCCUGCCAGACAUAGGGGGCGGGCAGUGGACCUCAGAGCUGUGCUGUCCAAUACGGCAGCCACCGCCCACAUGUGGCUAUUUACAGUUAAAUUAAACAAAAUCCAGUUCCUUGCUCACACCAACCACAUUUCAGGCGCUCAGGAGCCCCAGAUGGUGAGUGAACGCCGAGCUGGGCAGCACAGAUGCAGGACGCUGCCUCCAUCGCAGAAAGUUCUCCUGGACGCCACUGUUCCAGAUCCUGAUGGUUCAAGUGCUACGGAUGCAAUAGCUCAGCGACUGGCAGCGCAGCACGUACCUGCUGUCGUGGGAGGUGAGAGCCGCCAGUGCCCGACAGCGGCUGCAAGGCAGUGGUGGCACUCUGCAGCCAGCCGGCCCACCCCUCCAACAUCUGCAAGGGGGUGGUAAGUGCCCCAGCGCAAGCUGGGGACAAGGAAAGGGCCCCAGCCUGGCCUCCAGGAGCCCUCAACGGGCUGGGGUCAGGCAGAUGGGUGUGGGAAUAGCAGAGCACACAUGAUUCUUGGCCACGAGCCCACAGUGCCAGGCCCCUCAGACGCUCUACAAAGCCCUGGGACAAGCAGCUCCUGCUGAGAGAGUCCAGGGCACCACGGCAUGCCCCUGGGGCCACCCACGAAACCUGUGAGCCACUCAAGGCCAGGUCCAGCCCAUGAGUCCUCUGGUCCACCCUCUGCCUCUGCCAUAUGCACCGGGACGGCCAGCCCUUCCUCCCCACCUGUGCCUGCUUCUGAGCCAAAGCCAUGACACCUGCCCUUCCCUUGCAGGGAGGCUGCCUCACCAAGCUACCUGCUACUCAUGGGGGCGAUGGGCAUCAGGGUGGCCUGCCUGGAGGUGAGUUGCAGUUGGGAGACUAGGAGGAAAUACUCACUCGGGAUAUUAAACUAGGCUCUGAACCCGUCUCCAGCGGCAGAUAUCUCCAGUAACUGGGCUGGCAUGUCCGUGCCCUGCGCUGCUCUCUUCUCUCAGCUUCCCUUUGCAACCAAGGCUGAUUCCCACAGUCAGUCUCUCCCCCAGAGAACACGAAGGAAGAUGCCUGAGGGACAACAUGAACUUGUCAGGAACAGGGGCCUGGGAGGAGUGCGGAUGUGGGCUCAGGUACGCGCAUGCACCUUGAGUGUGUGCAUGUGGGGGUCAGUGUGCAAGCCUGCCGUGGUGUGUGUGGGUCCGUGGGGGUCCCCAUGUUCCCGGGUCUAUGUGGGUGGGGUGGUAUGCACUAUGUGUGUUUAGGGUGCUUGUGCAUGUGUGAGUGUGUACAUAUCUGCAUUCAUUCCUGUGUGUGCGUCUGUGUGUGUCUGUGUGUGUGUCUGUCUGUGUGUGUGUGCGUCUGUGUGUGUCUGUGUGUGUGUGUGUCUGUCUGUCUGUGUGUGUGUCUGUGUGUGUGUCUGUGGGGGUGUGUGUGUGUGUGUACCAUCAGCCCUCCAUAUCCACGGGUUCUGUAUCCUUGGAUUCAACCAACUGUGGAAUAAAAGUACUAACAAAAA